CCUACGGGAGGCUGCAGUGGGGGAUAUUGCACAAUGGGGGGAACCCUGAUGCAGCGACGCCGCGUGGGUGAAGGAGCGUUUCGGCGCGUAAAGCCCUAUCGGCAGGGAAGAAGGAGGACGGUACCUGACUAAGAAGCCCCGGCUAACUACGUGCCAGCAGCCGCGGUAAUACGUAGGGGGCAAGCGUUAUCCGGAUUUACUGGGUGUAAGGGGGGCGCAGACGGCAGCGCAAGCCAGGAGUGAAAGCCCGGGGCCCAACCCCGGGACUGCUCUUGGAACUGCGCGGCUGGAGUGCAGGAGGGGCAGGCGGAAUUCCUGGUGUAGCGGUGAAAUGCGUAGAUAUCAGGAGGAACACCGAUUGCGAAGGCAGCCUACUAAACUGCCACUGACAUUGAUGCUCGAAAGUGUGGGUAUCAAACAGGAUUAGAUACCCCUGUAGUC
rnacentral:rRNA from 1 species